UUCCGCACCCGGAAGAGAAUGAGCAUUUUCGAGCCGGUGGUACCAUUUGGAAUAACUGCAAUGUUUUGUAGUCCCUUCUGAAAUUCGGGUCUCCCUCUGACAUCACAGCAGUUCCCUUGGCUGAGGGACCUAAUUAAUGGCAAUGGCGGCUCGUGGAGCCUCUCAAUAGUUCCCGGAAGUAGCAGCAAACACCGUAGUGAUGCAUCAGAACAAACCGUUUGCGACGCACUUU